UCAAUCUUGUUCCCUUCGCGGUUCGACGUGUGUCAAUCUGUGGAAAUAUAAAGAGAAGCUUUUACAAGAACAAAAAAAAAUUAUUUGCUCGUGCUUCACCUAACAGAGAGAUAAGGACACGAGAACUAUGAAAGUUUUAAAAGUAUAACUUACACGUGAAACUCUCCAUAAGGCUGUCCAGUGAUCUGUAACAAGAUGGCUGCCAAACCUGACAUCUGAACCUCAUUACCAUACUGCAUCUUGACUCUAACCAAUAUAUAAUGGAAUACUUCAGUAUUAAUCUGGUAAUGAUGGAUUUACUGCACUAAAACAAGAAGCAAAAACACUUGAUAACAAUAUAGACUCAUCUUGUUGAGCAUUGACCCAAGUAUCAAGCUGGGGGUGACCCUGUGACCUUCAUAAAAAUAUGGACUCGCCUUAAUUCUGUAUAAGUAUUGAUCUGAAUAUCAACUUGUUGACUCUGCAAACUUCAUAACCUUGUUGCUGUAUGAUUGUUGACCUGAAUAUCAACCUGAUGACCCUGUGACCUUCAUAACAAUAUGGACUCACCUUGUUGCCAUAGAAGUGUUGUUCAUAUCCCAAGCAGCAGUUUAUUACUAAUCAUCAGCUUGAUGACAAGUAUUGGUAUGUGUCAUCAUUAGAUUGUGAUGAUACUACAUUGCAUCAAGCUAUUGCCAGCAGAUGUAUGACAGACAAGUUAUCAGCAUCUUCAGCCAAACAUCAUGUUGUCAUAGUGAUGUUUUUGUCAAGGCCUGGACAGCCUGCACACACAACAAACAACUUGCCAGCCUCUCAGCCAAGGAUCAUGUUGUCAUGGUGAUGAUGCUGUCAAGUUCAAAAUUUUUGAUUUUUUCAUUACAACACAUUUAUUUACCGCUCUGUCACUAUGCCAAUCACAUACCCACAGCUGCAUUAUCAUAAAUUGAUGUUGUGGUUUGUUCAAAAUAGCCAAUAGCCAAAACUGAAUCAAAACUGAAAAAGUACUCACUCCCAACAGUGAACAACCGUCACAGGUACAAGGAUUAACCCUUGAAUGUGUUUAAUGGCUGACAUCAAUGUUGGACAGCCUUUUUUAUCAUCAAAGCCAAUUUCCAAUUAAAAAAGGACUGCAUAUUAUCAAUGAAUGGCCUUGACAUUAUCCAACACUGAUGACAACCAAAAAUAUUACAGGUAAGCAACGAGUAAUAGAGGAUAAACAUCAAAUGUACAACACAUAAAUAGCACCUGAAAAAUUAGUAACAUUACAGAAUUGGUCCUGCAGUUGUUGCCAAUAAUUGCAAGAAUUCAUAGUCAUCAAUUGUGAUAACGAACAUACAGAAGGACCCUCCUAAACCCUUGGGCAUUGUGUGCUGAUGUCAUAAAGAACAACAUUCUCAUGUUAAAGGAUAACUGUAUUUGCACCAAGACUACUGCCUAGUUCGACUUGGUUAACCAUAACCUAUUUUGUAAUCCCCUUACCAGAACAUGGAAGUCAACCCUUCCAGGAAUAAAUACAAAGACAUGCAUGAAAGAAGUUGGAUGAAACAUUGGCUGUCAUGGUGUCUAUAGUAUGUGGUACACCCAUUUUCAGUAUAAUUUUUCUGCUCUAAAUAAAUCAGUGCUUGCUCAUGUGACAGAUUUUGAUCAUGGUGUUUUCAAGUAAUUACUGGGCUGAAGAUUCUUGCUAAGUUUUACCUUCAAAUACUGAAUAUCUUUCAAGUAACAAGAACAUACUUAAUCCUAAUCACUAGCCAACAGACCCAGGGCUUAACAUACAUGAGAUCAACAUCUUUAAAUGUAUUUAGGUGAGAACAUAAAGUAAAAGAGAAGCAAAAUAUUAUGCAGAAUUCUACAAGCUUAACAUGUUGAUGCAUGCUUUGUUUAAAGAUUACCAACCCAUCUGUGGUUGGUAUUCAACUCUGAU